GACGAACGCUGGCGGCGUGCUUAACACAUGCAAGUCGAACGCUGAAGCCCUUUCGGUGGUGGAUGAGUGGCGAACGGGUGAGUAACACGGGGGUACUCUGCCCUGCACUAUGGGAUAAGCCUGGGAAACGGGGUAUAAUACCGGAUAGGAAACAUCGCCGAAUGGGGUGGGUGUGGAAAGUUCGGGCGGUGUAGGUUGGGCUCGCGGGCUCGCAGCUUGUUGGUGGGGUGAUGGCCUACCAAGGCGACGUCGGGUAGCCGGCCUGAGAGGGUGACCGGCCACACUGGGACUGCGGAACGGCCCAGACUCCUACGUGAGGCAGCAGGGGGGAAUCUUGCGCAAUGGGGGAAAGCCGAGGGUAGCAGCGUCGCGUGGGGGAUGACGUCUUUCGGGUUGUAAACCUCUUUCGACCAGGACGAAGGGUGACUGACGGUACCGCUAGAAGAAGCACCGGCUAACUACGUGCCAGCCGCCGCCGUAA
rnacentral:rRNA from 1 species